rnacentral:rRNA from 1 species
AUAGGACACUUCAAAACCUUUUGUAAUUGCAAUCAGCGUCAGAAAAACUAUAAUAGUUACAACUUUCAACAACGGAUCUCUUGGUUCUGGCAUCGAUGAAGAACGCAGCGAAAUGCGAAAAGUAGUGUGAAUUGCAGAAUUCAGUGAAUCAUCGAAUCUUUGAACGCACAUUGCGCCCCUUGGUAUUCCAUGGGGCAUGCCUGUUCGAGCGUCAUUUGUACCCUCAAGCUCUGCUUGGUGUUGGGUGUUUGUCCCGCCUUCGCGUGUGGACUCGCCUUAAAGUCAUUGGCAGCCGGAAUAAUUCUGGGGAACGCAGCACAACUGCAGCCUCCAUUUUACGCCGAGCGUCCAGUAAGCCUUUUUUUCACGUUUGACCUCGGAUCAGGUAGGGAUACCCGCUGAACUUAAGCAUAUCAAUAAGCGGAGGAAA